CCUUAUAAAGAGAGCGCGAUCGCAGAGACCGGGCAUCAGCUACUACAUUUUCCUGUACCAGAUUUUCUACCGCACCUGUCGACGAGGCAACAUGAGUGGCAGAUCAGAGGAGAAGAGGGGGGGUCCUGACGACGAGUGCCAAGAACGUGGUCAGUGUAACGCUGAUAAGGCAAAGGGAAAAGGAGGAUGUGAGGACAAGGGACCAGGGGACAAAGGUCAAGGUCAAGGAUGUGGCCGUGGAGCGGAGAUGAAAAAGGAGCACUGUGGUGGCCGCGGUGGAGGCCCCCCCAAGGACAAAUGAACCAAAUGUCACUGAACGUCAUUGAAUAGAAAUAUCUAAUAAAAUGAACCUGGAAAUAUA